rnacentral:rRNA from 1 species
UACGUAGGGACCAAGCGUUGUUCGGAAUUACUGGGCGUAAAGGGCUCGUAGGCGGCCAACUAAGUCAGACGUGAAAUCCCUCAGCUUAACUGGGGAACUGCGUCUGAUACUGGAUGGCUUGGAUUCGGGAGAGGAAUGCGGAAUUCCAGGUGUAGCGGUGAAAUGCGUAGAUAUCUGGAGGAACACCUGCGAUGUAGAUGGCUUACUGGACCGUAACUGACGCUGAGGCACGAAAGCGUGGGUAGCAAACAGG